CCCGUCCAGGAGUUUCAUUAUGGGCGUGAGAGGCUUGCAGGGGUUUGUGGGAAGUAGCUGCCCACAUGUCUGCACUGCAGUAAACUUCAAAGAGCUGGCAGAGCGCCACCGGAGCGAGCACCCCGGAUGCACUCCCACCGUCGUGGUGGACGCCAUGUGUUGCCUCAGAUACUGGUACACGCCAGACUCUUGGAUCUGUGGUGGCCAAUGGCGAGAGUACUUUUCCUCUUUGCGAGAAUUUGUGAAAACUUUUACAACUGCUGGCAUCAAGUUGAUAUUCUUCUUUGAUGGCAUGGUGGAACAGAACAAGAGAGAUGAGUGGGUGAAACGAAGACUCAAGAACAACAGGGAGAUAGCCAGGAUUUUCCAUUACGUCAAGUCCCGCAAGGAGCAGCCUGGCAGGAACAUGUUCUUUAUCCCCUCGGGGCUGGCCAUAUUUACGCGGUUUGCUCUGAAGACCCUGGGUCAGGAGACUCUGUGUUCAUUACAGGAGGCCGACUACGAGGUGGCUUCCUAUGGCCUCCAGAACCACUGUCUCGGGAUUCUUGGAGAGGACACAGACUACUUAAUUUACGACACCUGUCCCUACUUCUCAAUCAGCGAGCUGUGCCUGGAGAGCCUGGACACCAUCAUGCUGUGCCGGGAGAAGCUCUGCCAGAGCCUGGGGCUCAGCCUGUGCGACCUGCCUCUCCUGGCCUGCCUGCUGGGCAACGACAUCAUCCCGGAGGGCAUGUUUGAAAGCUUUCGCUACAAGUGCUUGUCUUCCUACACCUCCAUCAGAGAGAACUUCGACAAAAAAGGUAACAUCAUCUUAGCUGUAGCAGACCACAUUUCUAAAGUUCUUCACUUGCAUCAAGGUGAGAAAAAACUAGAAGAGAUGUUACCUUUGGGACCAAACAGAGCUCUUUUCUACAAAGGAGUUGCAUCGUAUAUUUUGCCAGGACAGAAAUCUCCAUGGUUUUUCCAGAAACCUAAAGGUGUAGUAACUUUGAACAAGCAGGUAGUAUCCAUGUGUACAGACCCUGACUCCAAUCAGAAAUUAUUUACCGGUACAGACUCUGAAUUUAACCUAGAAGCACCCACGUGUACAGACCCUGACUCCAAGCAAGAAGCUCCCAUGUGUACACACCCUGAAAUUCAACAAGAAGACCCCAUAGAUACGGAGCCUGAAAUCAAGCAACAAGUAACCAUGGUUUCAGAUCCUGAAAUCUUAAAGGUCGCCAGAGCACAUCACGUCCAGGCGGAGAGCUACCUGGUGUACAACGUCCUGAGCAGCGGGGAGGUGGAGUGCGGGAACAGCCUGGAGGACGCGCUGGACCACACCCUGCCCGGCCAGGCCCAGGUAUACCGGCCUGUGCGGCAGCGUGUCUACUCCCUCCUGCUGGGGGGCAGCCAAGGUGAUGCCAGCACCUGUCCCACGGUCAAGGAGUGGUUUGUGUACUCUGGGAACCCACUGAGGCACCCGGACCUCGUCAGACCUCUGCAGAUGAACAUUCCAGGGGGAACGCCUAGCUUGAAACUAUUGUGGCUGAGCACAGAGUCAGGAAUACAAGCCCGGCGCCUGGACGCGCUCCUGGCUUGUUUCGACCUUUCGUCCUUGAAGGAAGAGCUGCAGGCAUUGGAGAGGCCCUUCCAGGCUCUGUGCUGCCUCCUGAUCUACCUCUUUGUGCAGGUGGACGCGCUCAGCCUGGAGGACCUGCAUGCCUUCAUUGCGCAGGCCCUGUGCCUCCAAGAAAAGUCCACUGCACAGCUCGUGGACUUGCAGCUGGACCACGUUGACCCCAGGGCUGUGCAGCUGGGCUCCCUGCUGGUCCGCGGCCUCACCACCCUGGUGCUGGUCAACAGCGCCUGCGGCUUCCCCUGGACAGCGGCCGACUUCAUGCCCUGGAACCUGUUUGAUGGGAAGCUUUUUCAUCAGAAGUACCUCCAGUCUGAGAAAGGGCAUGCUGUGGAGGUUCUCGUAGAACAAAACCUGGGAAGAGCCGAAGUGGUCACGCGUCACAGACAGAGAAGCUUCAGAGGUCCCGGCUCACCACGUUCCACACCCUGAAGUCGGUCGUGUGCAAGGCCUGCGUGAAGGAGAACAGACCGGUCGUCAGCAGGCGGCACUGGCGUUCACACCACUCAGGUAACAGUGACAGAUAACACGUUUUGCGUGGACGUCUGUGCGCUUGUCCUGUUGUGAUCACGCCCUGCACUGUGUCUGCGUUCUCCUCGGCUGAGGCCGCGGACCCAGCAUAACUGGCCACACGCAGAGCCCCCGGCUCUGCUGCUGUGCCGCUCUGCGCUUGCCUCGUGGCCCGGCCUCAGGCUCUGCCCUCCUCUUCUCACGUGAUGCGUCUCUGUGCGUUGUUUCCUUAGAAUUGAGCUUCCUCUUUUACAGAAUUGCGGAUCGAAACCUAAUUGGAUUUUAGAUAAAUGUUGCAACUUGUUUUCUAAGAACAGGUGGUCACUUCAUACCUUCACCAGCAGGAUUUAGUUUCUGUUUCACGCCAUCCUUGACAGCAUUUAAGUUUGUUUUUUAAACUGCCUUGAUAGAUGAAACAGCAUUUGGGUGCUCUUUGGUUUUCAGUUGGACAUCUUGUUGAACAGCUUAUUUUGUUAAUAAGUUCAUUUUAAUUGUUUCUUCGUGUCCUCAUUCUUUAGGGUCUAUACCUGCAGCUGUAGCAGCCCCACUUUUUAGUUGAUAGGAUAAGAGAAUCACCCCAAGUCCGCACCCCAGGAGCUCUGCUGGGCACCAGCCCCGCGCGGUUCAUUCCGAGGAGCUUUAUAUGAUGAGGUCUGUCAGGCACUGGGGUCAUGUGCAGCCCCUGCCAGUCAGUGCCGUGUGUGGGUCUGAGUAGAGAGAGUUCGGCCUCCUCCCUGCUCCUCAGAGCGACAGGCUCCUUCCUGGACCUGGCCCUUUCUCCAUCCUCUGCUUCCUUCCACCACCUGGGAACGGCAGCAUUUGAGACCCCAGAGCAAAAGUCUGUUCCUUACAGGUGAAAUAGGUGGUUCUGGAAUCUGUUGGUGGCUCGUCAGGCAGGCCAUUCGCCCUGCGAGCGCCAUGCCCCAGGGUCCCUGUCACUAACGAGGCUUCCAGCAGAGCAGCGGCCGGCUGGCUGGCUGGAAGCAGGCAGACGGAGCGUGCUGGCUAUUUUAAGCUGCAGUGGUAGCUGGGAUUUGAAUGCCUGAGCCUCUUUCUGCAUUUCUCAGCAGGCACUUGGGCUUAAGAGGACUGUGUGUGUGAGUUUUGUGGAAAGCCCUAAGGAGAGCCUGCGGUUCCCAGCUGCCGCGCGGCAGUGCGGUGCCGCCGUCCUGCCGCUCCCAGUGGCGACGGGAAGCCAUGUGGCCUUUCUGAUGAAGGGCGCGUGCAGGUGUGUGCAGGCGUGUGCAGACCGGGUUACGGGAAGCUGCUUCGGCAGAUGUGACGAGUCAGUGUGCUUGAUCUGGGGACUGCCCUUGUUUUGUCCUCGGAGCCCCCAUUUCCUUGGCAGAUACAGCUUGAGGGUCUGUGGGCCCCUCCCCUGGGCCCCACCCCUGGCAGGCUCUCGGUGGCAGUCCUCAGCCUCAAACCCCAGCCCCGUGUCCUGUGGCUACAGCUUCCCCACAUCUCUGAGCUGGGCAGGGCUGUGGGGUGUGGCUGGGGUCCAUACCUGGCCUCUCCUGUCCACGUGGGUGUGUCCCCAGCACCGAGCCGACCGCUGUGAACUGCAGCAGCUCAGAACAGCUGAGGUCUGAGCCGGUGGGGCGCUGUGCACAGGUGCUGGGGGCACCUCCGAGACUUGGCCACCCGCCCCGGGUCUGAGUUCCCUGCGCCUGUGGACUUGGAGUCCUGGGGGUGACCAGGCGGCCCUGCGAGCCGGCGCUGAGGGGCAGAGACGUGGGCGCUGUCCUGGCAGGCAGAUCGUGGAAGUUUCGUUCUCCUGAGGCUUUGAGCACGUGGAGAAUUUGGGUUUGCAGAGGUGAGGAAGGAAAGGGCUGAAUUUGCAGCAGGAAAGUGGUGUUUCUGGAAGAUGGUUGGUGGCUGGGUGGCAGGUAGGGGUGAGACGGUGGAGGCUUGUGAGUCUUCACUUUUUUAGCCGCAGCAGAUUGGGGAGUUUUUGCAGAUGUCUGAAGUGACAUGACCCAAAAUAUGCUUUUAGGGAAGCAUCUGCAGACAGUACGGAGAGGCCUGGAGCCCCAGCGGCAGCUUGCAGGCCUCGCAGCCCGGGUGACGGUGAGGGAGCCACUGGGGGUCCCAGCCGCGCUGCCCCCGCUCCCGGAACUCGUCCCAGGCAUGUUAAGCAGCUCCCCUUCCACAGCCAGCAGAGUGUGCGCUGAGGGCAGGGGCCAUGGGGCUGGAUCGCAGGCAGCUGCUUCCCGCUUCUGCGGAGCGCUGGUUCCCCGCUGCGGCCUGGUGGCCUUGGCUGUCAUUCUUUAUGGAGCAGCAUGAAAUACCAGGAUGUUUUUUAAAAUCACAUUUAGAUACGUAUGUAGACUUGCUUGUGCUGAACUUUAAUAGAGACAAACAGAAGAUACCAGGGUUUAGGAGUUUCGGAGAGGAGAUUUAGGUUGAGACAGUUCUGCGUUCAGUUCGAGGACAGCGUGGCCAGGCUGGCCAGGUCCCAGAGCCCCGGAUGCUGGUGUCCUGACCUCCAGCUGUGUGUGCCCCACACCCAGGCAGCCGUUCGCCUGGGAGGCAGAGACAGCUGCUUGUCCCACUGCGGGGGAUGUGACAGAGUGCCUGCCCAUCACCAGUACCCUCUCCUGAACCAACCUGGCCCUGGCGUGGUGACCCAGGAAUCUGCAUUUUUCACAGGCUUUUCUUGUGAUUUUUAAGGACACCAGAAGUUUGAUAGCUGCCAGGCCAGGACCACAUUGCUCCACUCUCAGACAUAACACGGUGUUAGGCAUCUAAUGUGCAGAUCACAUGUCCCCACAGGGCGGUGGGGACGGCAGGGCUCCAGCUCCCACAGGACGAGCUCCGGGCACAGCCGGUCUGGCCAAGGACAGCACUGGAGAGACCAGGGGCCAGGAAGUAGACAGCAUGAGCCUGACCAGUGGAGAAGAUACUAGUCAUCUUCUGG